AUUGAACGCUGGCGGCAGGCCUAACACAUGCAAGUCGAGCGGUAGAGAGAAGCUUGCUUCUCUUGAGAGCGGCGGACGGGUGAGUAAUGCCUAGGAAUCUGCCUAGUGGUGGGGGAUAACGUUCGGAAACGGACGCUAAUACCGCAUACGUCCUACGGGAGAAAGCGGGGGAUCUUCGGACCUCGCGCCAUUAGAUGAGCCUAGGUCGGAUUAGCUAGUUGGUGAGGUAAUGGCUCACCAAAGCGACGAUCCGUAACUGGUCUGAGAGGAUGAUCAGUCACACUGGAACUGAGACACGGUCCAGACUCCUACGGGAGGCAGCAGUGGGGAAUAUUGGACAAUGGGCGAAAGCCUGAUCCAGCCAUGCCGCGUGUGUGAAGAAGGUCUUCGGAUUGUAAAGCACUUUAAGUUGGGAGGAAGGGCAGUAACCUAAUACGUUAUUGUUUUGACGUUACCGACAGAAUAAGCACCGGCUAACUUCGUGCCAGCCGCCGCGGUAAAAC
rnacentral:rRNA from 1 species